rnacentral:rRNA from 1 species
UACGGGGGGGGGCAAGCGUUGUUCGGAAUUACUGGGCGUAAAGGGUGCGUAGGUGGCGUGGUAAGUUUGAUGUGAAAGCUCAGGGCUUAACCCUGAAAUGGCAUUGAAUACUACUGUGCUGGAGGUUUGGAGGGGGGACUGGAAUUCUUGGUGUAGCAGUGAAAUGCGUAGAUAUCAAGAGGAACACCAGUGGCGAAGGCGAGUCCCUGGACAACACCUGACACUGAGGCACGAAAGCUAGGGGAGCAAACAGG